rnacentral:snRNA from 1 species
AUCGCUUCUCGGCCUUUUGGCUAAGAUCAAGUGUAGUAAAAAAUAUCAUAUUGAAAAAGUGCUGUAGAACUUGA